ACAACAAUAAUAAUAAUAAUAAUAGUAACUUAAAUAGUGUACAAAUUAAAAAUUAAGAAAGAUACCUUUUUUUUUAUGAUUAAAAAUGAAAAUUAUGAGCUUUAAUCCUGAAUCUUGUAUUCUUUCCUUAGCGAGGAACAACGAAGGUGUUUGGAUCUUCAUCGUUUAUCCAUCCAUACUUCUCCAUGAAUGGGUUGGCUAUUGUCUUUGGUGGGUAGUCAUCAACACAGUCUCUCCACACAUUACAAUCUCCCAAGUCUCUCACCACCUCCCACAAACAGCUGUUGCAUUUAAAGCCUGCACCAAAACUUAUCAUCAAAAUCCUAUCUCCUUUCUUCAGCCUCAUCUUGGCCUCCAUGUACCCCAACACAUACCAAAGACUACUAGCUGAUGUGUUACCAAAUCUAUGUAGAGUCAUUCUUGCUGGCUCCAAAUCAUACUCAGAUAGAUCAAGAUUCACACCAAUUCCAUCUAUCACCGCUUUCCCACCAGUGUGGAUGCAGAAGUGAUCAACUCCAGUCUUGAAGUUAAUCGCUGCUCUAGUACUCGUCCCUCCUCCUCCUCCUUUACUGCUGGAACCUUGAUUCCAUUUUUUUAUGAAGGAAACUAUCAUAAAUCUGAGUAAUUCCCUUAUAGGCAAGAUCCUAGGGGUUAUUUCCCUAAGGUUGUCCACCAAAGCUCUUGUAGCUGCCUUUGGGAGAGUCUUUCCUAGGUGAAACCCUAGGCGGCCUUGAUCGUCCUCUUUUUGGAUGCAACAAUCAUAAGACUCAUCUCUAGCCCCAUGGUGUGUCCUCACUAGACAUUUCAAUUUGAACAUGGUUCGGUGCUGUAAUGCCUUUUUGUUGGUCAAAAGGAUUGCACACCCACCAGAACGGAACAAACAAUUUGCAAGAAUCAUCGAUCUAUCGUUCCCAGAGUACCAAUUGGGGCUCAAAGACUCUGAGGUGACCACAAGAGCAUACAAAUUCUUGUGAGUCUUGAAAAUGUUCUGAGCAAUGUUGAUAGAUAUAAGGCUGGCACUGCAGCCCAUCCCAGUGAGGUUGUAUACCUUAAUAUCUUCCCUCAUUUGGUAGUGAUUUAUGAUCCUAGCUGAUAAAGAAGGCAUCACAGCAAGCAUCGAGACAUUAACCACAAGAACAUCGAUUUCUUGAGGAGAUACGCCUGUUCUGGCCAAGAGCUUUCCAAUGCUAUCUUUAAAAAACUCCUCCAUCUCCAAGAUCCCAUCUUCAUAUGUAGGGUUUUCUUCUCGGCCGGCGAAAACCAUCCUCGGAGCAUAGGUUUGCUCUCCAAUGCCGGAGCUCACAAUGGCUUUCAAGAGAAACUUGUACUCGUUGAGACCAAGAUGCCUGUUCCUCUUAAUCACCUCCCCACAAAACUCAGUGUCAAGCUUCCUAUCAUCGGUUGGUUUGAAGCACUCAUAGUCUAGUAUAUAGCAUUCUUGGUCUCUUUUCGCAUCGACCCACCUCCACAGCAAUAAGAGGGGAUACAAGAUCAAGAAUGCAUACACUAGCAUAAGCACAUCCAUUAGAGAAUUAAAGAAAGAAAGAAAGAGGAAGAAAGAAGGGACUAGCUAUAGGAGAAAGAGAGAGAGAGAAAGGAGAAGUUGGGUGGUUAUGUUUUGUUUAGGAGUAAAACUUUGUUAUACGAGAAUCAUCAAAUGAAAGACUUAUAAAGAGACGGGUUGUGCGUAAGCUGUAUAUGCGAACAUGCUUAAGAAAUAUUUCCAUCGCUCAACUCCCACCGACUCAUUUGUGUGUAACUUUCGCAUCAGUCUUCAUGACAAAUUCAACUCUUGUCACACAUGGG
rnacentral:misc_RNA from 1 species